UACGUAGGGGGCGAGCGUUGUUCGGAAUUACUGGGCGUAAAGCGCGCGCAGGUGGUUUCUUAAGUCUGAUGUGAAAGCCCACGGCUCAACCGUGGAGGGUCAUUGGAAACUGGGAGACUUGAGUGCAGAAGAGGAAAGUGGAAUUCCAUGUGUAGCGGUGAAAUGCGUAGAGAUAUGGAGGAACACCAGUGGCGAAGGCGACUUUCUGGUCUGUAACUGACACUGAGGCGCGAAAGCGUGGGGAGCAAACAGG
rnacentral:rRNA from 1 species